AAAUUUUUAAUACAUUAUUUCUAAUAUAUCAUGAAAACAGAAUCAAAAGGCGGAAAAAAAAAAAAAAACAGCGAAAUUUGGUUCCGCAGACAUCUCACUGUUCAUAUCAAAUUUCUUGCUGUAAUUGACCAGAUUACGUAAAAUUGAAAAUUUUAAAUCAUACUAGACACAAUAAAGAUUAAAAACCCUAAUUAUUGAACUCAUUUUGUUCAAAAUAUGCCGUGAAAUAAAUCAAAUGGUGGAAAAAAAAAAAAACCCAAAGUUCUUACCUGUUUUUGUGAACCGAAGCCUUCAAUCUCUAAAAAACUCUGUUUUUCUCAACGAUUAUCACAAAUUAGUAACAAAAAGUUUUGAUUCACAGCUUUAAGAUCAAAAUGCCUACAAAUUUUGAAAGAUUCAUGCCCUAUUUGGCAUGAAA
rnacentral:lncRNA from 1 species